CAGGGUGUGGGUCAGAGGUUGACCACGGGUUUCGGGUACCCGCCUAUGCAGGUUCGAGUCCUGCCUCCCUGAC
rnacentral:tRNA from 1 species